AAAUACAUCGGCAGACUACAAUUUAGCAGCCCACCUUCGUUCAGCCCUCCCCGAAAGAGAGCACAGAACAUGAUUUCACCCGGUUCCACGUGCACAAGUUUCUUGAGUUGAACAAUUCCCCCGGCUUUCUUUUUUUUUGGGGGGGGAACUCGGAAGGAUCAUUA
rnacentral:rRNA from 1 species